ensembl:snRNA U2 U2 spliceosomal RNA
AAAACUUUUCCAAAAAAAAAAAAAAAAUCUGUUCUUAUCAGUUUAAUAUCUGAUACGUCCCCUAUCUGGGGACCAUAUAUUAAAUUGAUUUUUGGAAUAGGGAGAUGGAAUAGGGGCUUGCUCCGUCCACUCCACGCAUCGACCUGGUAUUGCAGUACCUCCAGGAACGGUGCACCCCCU